rnacentral:rRNA from 1 species
AUGAGUAAUGCAACUUUCUCUAUCUGUUCGUGGAAUGUGCGUGGUCUGGGGGACGACGCAAAAUGCUCUGACGUUCUCUCCGAACUCAUCUCAAUCAAUCCCCACAUUGCAUUAUUACAAGAGUCCAAACUCGAUGCGCUCUCCGACCCCAAAGCUCGAUCCUUCAUGCCUAGGCAGCUAGACCAAGUUUUCUCCCUACAUGCCGUCGGAACGGCGGGUGGCACCAUCUCCGCCGUCAACACUGCCUCCUUCCAAGUAAUCUCCUUCAGCCACCUCACCUUCUCAUCAACCAUGAUUUUGCGAUCCACGGCAUCUGACCGUAACAUAGCUAUCACCAAUAUCUAUGCCCCCUCCUCCCGUGCCCUCAAACAAUCUUUCUUCUGAGCUACUUGCUACUCACAACCAGACGACUCACCCUGGCUACUUGUGGGAGAUUUUAACCUACUCCGUUACCCCACCGACAAAAAUAAUGACGCGUUUAGACAAUCCGAAGCCAAUGCUUUUAACCAAACUCUUGAUGAACUCGCCCUCAUCGAACUGCCACUUCUUGACCACCAAUACACUUGGUCCAACAAUAGAGCAUCACCCACCCUAGAACGUAUCGACCGUGCUUUCUUCAACUUAGCUUGGGCAGACGCCUUCCCAAACUCUUCCCUCUCCUCUCUCACGUGCUUCACGUCCGACCACGUACCCCUCCUCAUACACGUCACCACAACAAUCCCGCGGUCCAAUUUUUUCAAAUUUGAGCCUGGCUGGACCAAGUGGCGACCCUGCAGUAACAUUAUCAGCACUGUUUGGGCCCCUUCACGGCCCACCACGACCGCCAACUCUGCCGCCACCCUCGCUUCCUUGCUGAAAAAGACUAGGGGCGGGCUAAAAAAAUGGGUUCGCUCUCGUACUCCCGCCCCCUCCACGAAUCUCGAUGUAAAACCGCUAUCGCCGCCCUUGAUCAUGCAGAGGAAUCCAGGCCUCUCUCCCCGCCCGAACUCCUCACUCGCAAAAUCAUCGUGUCCCUUCUCAAAUGCAAUAUCCAAAAAAUGGCAUACUGGAAAUGGCAUGCCAAAGUUUCUCGAGCAAUCCACGGAGGUGAAAACUCCAAAUUCUUCCACAUGUCUGCCUCACAACGCCUUAGGAAAAACAAAAUUUUCUCCCUCACACGCGACGGCACGGUCUUCACCUCUCAUCCCCACAAAGCAGAAAUCCUACGAGAUUUUUUCGUCUCACUCAUAG